GAGUUUGAUCCUGGCUCAGGAUGAACGCUAGCGGCGUGCCUUAGAUAUGCAAGUCGAAUGCCUUGUGCGAGGCACAAGGAUUAUAAGAAUUUAAUAAUUACUCGUAAUUCUUGUGCUUUGCAUGAGUAAUGGCGGACGGCUGAGUAACGCGUAGGGACUUUCCUCUAGGUAAAAAAUAGCUCACCGAAAGGUGGGGUAAUAUUUUAUAACCAGAUACCGUAUGGUAUCUAGAAAGAACGUAACUGUUCGCCAAGAGAUGGACCUGCGUCCUAUCAGGUAGUUGGUGGGGUAAUAGCCUACCAAGCCUACGACGGGUAGCUGGCCCGAGAGGGUGGUCAGCCAGAGGGGCACUGAGAUACGGGCCCCACUCCUACGGGAGGCAGCAAUUAGGAAUAGUCGGCAAUGGGCGAAAGCCUGACCGCGCGACGCCGCGUGUGGGAAGAAGUUCUUUCGAAUGUAAACCACUGUGAUAGAAGAAGAAGGUCUGUUUACAGACUUGACGGUACUCUAUUAGAAAGGGGCCGCUAACUGCGUGCCAGAAGCGUCGGUAAGACGUGGGCCCCAAGCGUUAUCCGGUGUCAUUGGGCGUAAAGGGUCGUGUAGGCUGUCGUAUAAGUUAUCUUUUAAAGCUUCCUUCUUAAAGGGAAAAUAGGGGAUAAUACUGUACAACUUGAAUUUUCUUAAGGGAGACUGGAACUUAGAGAGGAGUAGUGAAAUGCGUUGAUACUCUAGGGAACACCAGUGGCGAAGGCGAGUCUCUGGAAGGAAAUUGACGCUGAAACACGAAAGCUAGGGGAGCGAAGCAGAUUAGAGACCUGCGUAGUCCUAGCCCUAAACGAUGCUUGCUAGCUGCAUGUUGAGCUUUGCUCUACGUGUGGCGUAGGUAACCCGUUAAGCAAGCCGCCUGGGAAGUACGGUCGCAAGACUGAAACUCAAAGGAAUUGGCGGGGAGGCACACAACCAGUGGAACAUGUGGUUCAAUUCGAAACGAACCGAAGAACCUCACCAAGACUUGAAAUCCAAAAGUUCACGUUCUGAUGAAAGUCAGAAUAUCCGCAAGGAGGUUUGGACAGGUGCUGCAUGGCUGUCGUCAGCUCGUUCUGUGAAGAGUACCCUUAAGUGGGAUAACGAGCGCAACCCCUAUCUUGUGUUACAAAUGUCACAAGAAACAGGUCAAGCUUAGCUUGACAGGAAGGAGGGGCAGACGUCAAGUCAGCAUGGCCCUUAUGUCUUGGGCUACACACAUGUUACAAUGUAAAGUAUAAAGGGUAGAGCUAGCUGGUAACAGUAUGCUAAUCUCAUAAAACUUUACUCAGUAGGGAUUGAGGUCUGCAACUCGACCUCAUGAACGUGGAAUUGGUAGUAAUCGCAGAUCAGCUAUGCUGCGGUGAAUACGUUCUUGCCUCUUGCACACACCGCCCGUCAAGCCAACAAAGUUGAGAUAAUUUGAACUCCGAUGUUAUGUCGAAGGAAAAUUAACUUGAUGAUGGGGGUUAAGUCGUAACAAGGUAUCCGUUCUGGAAGGAGCGGCUGGAUCACCUCCUUUCUA
rnacentral:rRNA from 1 species